rnacentral:rRNA from 1 species
GAUGAACGCUGGCGGCGUGCAUAACACAUUCAAGUCGAACGAAGCAGCAAUGCUGAGUGGCGGACGGGUGAGUAACGCGUGAGCAACCUGCCUGUGACUGCGGAAUAACACAGGGAAACUUGUGCUAAUACCGCAUAAAGCAGCGAAACCGCAUGGUAACGCUGCCAAAGAUAUAUUGGUCACAGAUGGGCUCGCGUCUGAUUAGAUAGUUGGCAGGGUAACGGCCUACCAAGUCUUCGAUCAGUAGCCGGACUGAGAGGUCGAACGGCCACAUUGGAACUGAGAGACGGUCCAGACUCCUACGGGUGGCAG